rnacentral:rRNA from 1 species
GAUGAACGCUGGCGGCGUGCCUAAUACACGCAAGUCGAGCGAAUGGAUUAAGAGCUUGCUCUUAUGAAGUUAGCGGCGGACGGGUGAGUAACACGUGAGUAACCUGCCCAUAAGACUGGGAUAACUCCGGGAAACCGGGGCUAAUACCGGAUAAUAUUUUGAACUGCAUGGUUCAAAAUUGAAAGGCGGCUUCGGCUGUCACUUAUGGAUGUACCCGCGUCGCAUUAGCUAGUUGGUGAGGUAACGGCUCACCAAGGCAACGAUGCGUAGCCGACCUGAGAGGGUGAUCGGCCACACUGGGACUGAGACACGGCCCAGACUCCUACGGGAGGCAGCAGUAGGGAAUCUUCCGCAAUGGACGAAAGUCUGACGGAGCAACGCCGCGUGAGUGAUGAAGGCUUUCGGGUCGUAAAACUCUGUUGUUAGGGAAGAACAAGUGCUAGUUGAAUAAGCUGGCACCUUGACGGUACCUAACCAGAAAGCCACGGCUAACUAUGUGCCAGCCGCCGCGGUAA